UUACGGUCAGAUCACGUUGGAAACACUGGUUCUCGUACGAUCACCGAAGUUAAGCAAUGUCGUACCUAGUCACUAUCUAGACCGGUGAGCGCUUGGAAAUACCAGGUGCCGUAAG